CUAUAGUGCUGCUAGUUGUAUCUCCUUUCCUUCCAGCUGGAUUAUCAUUGCCAGCAAAUGACAGUUGUACAGAAAGCAACUAAAUUUUCUUGAGCUUCUUAUGAAACUGCAAUAGAUAAGGAUGCUCAACUGGAUAUUCAUGUUAAAAAAACAAUUGAUUUUGCUGAGACAUCAGCAUAACAAUUAUUUUCUUCUGCAACAAUACUGGGGGAAAAAAUUGUCAUUACUGGUUCUUGGAAGGGGAAAAGUCCUACACACACUGGUUCCCACCAGCACAAGUAUUUCUGAGGCUGUGAAACUAACUCAACAUAAAGCUGAGUUUGAGGAGAGAAAUGAAGUGCUUAUGUGAAAGGACCCACCUCACAACCUCAAAGAAGAGUGGGAGUGGUUACAUCUCUCAUCCCCAUUUGAGGUUGAAUAAACUUCCAUACUGAGGCUGAGCAUUGAUCAAAGUAGUCUCUGAUGAUGUCAUGCUUUGAAUUGCAGAUGACCACCUGCUGACAUCAGAACAAGAUUAUAGACUAAUGCAGAGACUGCAUUUCUAAAUAAAGCAACUCAGUUUACUGCUCAUGUGCACUUUUUGUUUUAAAAUCUUUUUCAAGUUGAUUUCAGUAAUCGUGCUUUUUGUGAUGUGGAUACAUAUCCAAUAUAAGUGGCUACCUGUCACAUUGGACAAAAUUCAAAUUAAAUAUAAGCAAGUGUGAUUCAAUGAAGCUGAAGACAAUGGAUUUGUCCACUUAUACCAGAGCUAUAUUUUGCCUAUUUACUUCUAUGCACACAAAUUGGAUAAAUUGGCUGCCCACCUAUUCAAAGUGUGUGCACAAAUGCAGGUGGACCCAAUUUUGCAGGCACAAAAUCUGAGGUUGCAGAUUGAAAA